rnacentral:rRNA from 1 species
UUAAGCGACUAAGCGUACACGGUGGAUGCCCUGGCAGUCAGAGGCGAUGAAGGACGUGCUAAUCUGCGAUAAGCGUCGGUNNAGGUGAUAUGAACCGUUAUAACCGGCGAUUUCCGAAUGGGGAAACCCAGUGUGUUUCGACACACUAUCAUUAACUGAAUCCAUAGGUUAAUGAGGCGAACCGGGGGAACUGAAACAUCUAAGUACCCCGAGGAAAAGAAAUCAACCGAGAUUCCCCCAGUAGCGGCGAGCGAACGGGGAGGAGCCCAGAGCCUGAAUCAGUGUGUGUGUUAGUGGAAGCGUCUGGAAAGGCGCGCGAUACAGGGUGACAGCCCCGUACACAAAAAUGCACAUACUGUGAGCUCGAUGAGUAGGGCGGGACACGUGGUAUCCUGUCUGAAUAUGGGGGGACCAUCCUCCAAGGCUAAAUACUCCUGACUGACCGAUAGUGAACCAGUACCGUGAGGGAAAGGCGAAAAGAACCCCGGCGAGGGGAGUGAAAAAGAACCUGAAACCGUGUACGUACAAGCAGUGGGAGCCUCUUUUAUGGGGUGACUGCGUACCUUUUGUAUAAUGGGUCAGCGACUUAUAUUCUGUAGCAAGGUUAACCGAAUAGGGGAGCCGAAGGGAAACCGAGUCUUAACUGGGCGUUAAGUUGCAGGGUAUAGACCCGAAACCCGGUGAUCUAGCCAUGGGCAGGUUGAAGGUUGGGUAACACUAACUGGAGGACCGAACCGACUAAUGUUGAAAAAUUAGCGGAUGACUUGUGGCUGGGGGUGAAAGGCCAAUCAAACCGGGAGAUAGCUGGUUCUCCCCGAAAGCUAUUUAGGUAGCGCCUCGUGAAUUCAUCUCCGGGGGUAGAGCACUGUUUCGGCAAGGGGGUCAUCCCGACUUACCAACCCGAUGCAAACUGCGAAUACCGGAGAAUGUUAUCACGGGAGACACACGGCGGGUGCUAACGUCCGUCGUGAAGAGGGAAACAACCCAGACCGCCAGCUAAGGUCCCAAAGUCAUGGUUAAGUGGGAAACGAUGUGGGAAGGCCCAGACAGCCAGGAUGUUGGCUUAGAAGCAGCCAUCAUUUAAAGAAAGCGUAAUAGCUCACUGGUCGAGUCGGCCUGCGCGGAAGAUGUAACGGGGCUAAACCAUGCACCGAAGCUGCGGCAGCGACGCUUAUGCGUUGUUGGGUAGGGGAGCGUUCUGUAAGCCUGUGAAGGUGUNGAAGGUGUGCUGUGAGGCAUGCUGGAGGUAUCAGAAGUGCGAAUGCUGACAUAAGUAACGAUAAAGCGGGUGAAAAGCCCGCUCGCCGGAAGACCAAGGGUUCCUGUCCAACGUUAAUCGGGGCAGGGUGAGUCGACCCCUAAGGCGAGGCCGAAAGGCGUAGUCGAUGGGAAACAGGUUAAUAUUCCUGUACUUGGUGUUACUGCGAAGGGGGGACGGAGAAGGCUAUGUUGGCCGGGCGACGGUUGUCCCGGUUUAAGCGUGUAGGCUGGUUUUCCAGGCAAAUCCGGAAAAUCAAGGCUGAGGCGUGAUGACGAGGCACUACGGUGCUGAAGCAACAAAUGCCCUGCUUCCAGGAAAAGCCUCUAAGCAUCAGGUAACAUCAAAUCGUACCCCAAACCGACACAGGUGGUCAGGUAGAGAAUACCAAGGCGCUUGAGAGAACUCGGGUGAAGGAACUAGGCAAAAUGGUGCCGUAACUUCGGGAGAAGGCACGCUGAUAUGUAGGUGAAGCGACUUGCUCGUGGAGCUGAAAUCAGUCGAAGAUACCAGCUGGCUGCAACUGUUUAUUAAAAACACAGCACUGUGCAAACACGAAAGUGGACGUAUACGGUGUGACGCCUGCCCGGUGCCGGAAGGUUAAUUGAUGGGGUUAGCGGUAACGCGAAGCUCUUGAUCGAAGCCCCGGUAAACGGCGGCCGUAACUAUAACGGUCCUAAGGUAGCGAAAUUCCUUGUCGGGUAAGUUCCGACCUGCACGAAUGGCGUAAUGAUGGCCAGGCUGUCUCCACCCGAGACUCAGUGAAAUUGAACUCGCUGUGAAGAUGCAGUGUACCCGCGGCAAGACGGAAAGACCCCGUGAACCUUUACUAUAGCUUGACACUGAACAUUGAGCCUUGAUGUGUAGGAUAGGUGGGAGGCUUUGAAGUGUGGACGCCAGUCUGCAUGGAGCCGGCCUUGAAAUACCACCCUUUAAUGUUUGAUGUUCUAACGUUGGCCCCUGAUCGGGGUUGCGGACAGUGUCUGGUGGGUAGUUUGACUGGGGCGGUCUCCUCCUAAAGAGUAACGGAGGAGCACGAAGGUUGGCUAAUCCUGGUCGGACAUCAGGAGGUUAGUGCAAUGGCAUAAGCCAGCUUGACUGCGAGCGUGACGGCGCGAGCAGGUGCGAAAGCAGGUCAUAGUGAUCCGGUGGUUCUGAAUGGAAGGGCCAUCGCUCAACGGAUAAAAGGUACUCCGGGGAUAACAGGCUGAUACCGCCCAAGAGUUCAUAUCGACGGCGGUGUUUGGCACCUCGAUGUCGGCUCAUCACAUCCUGGGGCUGAAGUAGGUCCCAAGGGUAUGGCUGUUCGCCAUUUAAAGUGGUACGCGAGCUGGGUUUAGAACGUCGUGAGACAGUUCGGUCCCUAUCUGCCGUGGGCGCUGGAGAACUGAGGGGGGCUGCUCCUAGUACGAGAGGACCGGAGUGGACGCAUCACUGGUGUUCGGGUUGUCAUGCCAAUGGCACUGCCCGGUAGCUAAA